rnacentral:rRNA from 1 species
GCUCAACCGGGGAGGGUCAUUGGAAACUGGGGAACUUGAGUGCAGAAGAGGAGAGUGGAAUUCCACGUGUAGCGGUGAAAUGCGUAGAGAUGUGGAGGAACACCAGUGGCGAAGGCGACUCUCUGGUCUGUAACUGACGCUGAGGCGCGAAAGCGUGGGGAGCGAACAGGAUUGGAUACCCUGGUAGUCCACGCCGUAAACGAUGAGUGCUAAGUGUUAGAGGGUUUCCGCCCUUUAGUGCUGCAGCAAACGCAUUAAGCACUCCGCCUGGGGAGUACGGUCGCAAGACUGAAACUCAAGGGAAUUGACGGGGGCCCGCACAAGCGGUGGAGCAUGUGGUUUAAUUCGAAGCAACGCGAAGAACCUUACCAGGUCUUGACAUCCUCUGACAACCCUAGAGAUAGGGCUUCCCCUUCGGGGGCAGAGUGACAGGUGGUGCAUGGUUGUCGUCAGCUCGUGUCGUGAGAUGUUGGGUUAAGUCCCGCAACGAGCGCAACCCUUGAUCUUAGUUGCCAGCAUUCAGUUGGGCACUCUAAGGUGACUGCCGGUGACAAACCGGAGGAAGGUGGGGAUGACGUCAAAUCAUCAUGCCCCUUAUGACCUGGGCUACACACGUGCUACAAUGGGCAGAACAAAG